rfam:Gossypium hirsutum cultivar TM-1 chromosome 12, whole genome shotgun sequence
UACUCAUCAGAUUCGUGGUCCUGAAGUCACUGUUUCGACUAGACCCAAAAUCGGGCUGUUACAGUAAUGUCGCAAGGAUGAAACUUAAAAGAUUUGACAGAAGGGCACCACCUUGAGUGGUGUCUAUAACUUAAUUUGAUUCAACACAGGAAAAUUUACCUGGUCCAGCUAUAGGAAGGAUUGAAAAACUGUGAGCUCUUUCUUGAUUCUAUAAGUGGUGGUGCAUGGCCAUUCUUAGUUGGUGGAGCGGUUUGUCUGGUUAAUUUCAUUAUAAAAUGAGUCCUCAGCCUACUAACUAGGUACACGGAGGUGAUCCUCCAUAUCUAGCUUCUUAAAAAGACUAUGGCUUUUUAGGCUAUGGAAGUUUAAGGCAAUAACAGGUCUGUGAUGCCCUUGGAUGUUUUAGGUCGGAUGUCCACUACACUGAUGUAUUCAACGAGUCUAUAGCCUUGGCCGAUAGGCUUAGGUAAUCUUUGAAAUUUCAUCAUGAUGGAGAUAGAUCAUUGCAAUUCUUGGUUUUUAAUGAGGAAUUCCUAGUAAGCUCGAGUCAUCAGCUCGUGUUGACUACGAGCCUGCCCUUUUUACACACCGCUUGUUCACUCUUACCGAUUGAAUGGUCCAGUGAAGUGUUCUCAUCGUGACGAUGUGGGCAGUUCGUUGCUCAUGUCGUUGCAAGAAGUCCACUGAACCUUAUUAUUUAAAGGAAGGAGAAGUCGUAAAAAAAGUUUCGGUAAGUGAACCUACAGAAGGAUCACUG